UUGGCUUAGAAGCAGCCAUCAUUUAAAGAAAGCGUAAUAGCUCACUGGUCGAGUGAACCUGCGCCGAAAAUGUAACGGGGCUCAAGCACAAUACCGAAGCUACGGGAUAUCACAUUAGUGAUAUCGGUAGGGGAGCAUUCUGUACGGGUUGAAGGUUUACCGUAAGGAGAGCUGCACUGUACAGAAGAGACCAUGCUGACAUGAGUAACGAUAAAGCGGGUGAAAAACCCGCUCGCCGAAAACCUAAGGAUUCCUGGGUAAAGCUAGUCUUCCCAGGGUUAGUCGAUCCCUAAGCCGAGGCCGCGAGGCGUAGGUGAUGGAAAACAGGUUAAUAUUCCUGUACCACCGAGGUAUCGUUUGAGUGAAGGGGGGAAGCAGGAGGGUAGGUCAUCCAUCUGAUGGAAUAGAUGGUUCAAGCAGGUAGGCAGAGAGCGCAGGAAAAUCCGCGUUUUUAUAUAAAUGCCGAGAUGUGAUGAGGAUCUGCGAAAGCGGAAUAAACUGACUGAUCCCAUGCUGCCAAGAAAAUCCUCUAAACGAGAUAUUGAGGUGAUCGUACCGAAAACCGACACAGGUAGGUGGGGAGAGAAUCCCAAGGCGCUUGAGAGAACCCUGGUUAAGGAACUCGGCAAAAUAACACCGUAACUUAGGGAAAAGGUGUGCCCAGGAAGGUGAAGUAAUUUACUUACGGAGCAGGAGAGGGCCGCAGAGAAAUGGCGGUAGCGACUGUUUACUAAAAACAUAGGACUCUGCAAAGUCGUAAGACGAGGUAUAGGGUCUGACGCCUGCCCGGUGCUGGAAGGUUAAGGGGAUUUGUCAGCGCAAGCGAAGCAUUGAACCGAAGCCCCAGUAAACGGCGGCCGUAACUAUAACGGUCCUAAGGUAGCGAAAUUCCUUGUCGGGUAAGUUCCGACCUGCACGAAUGGCGUAACGACUUCCGCACUGUCUCAACCAGGGACUCAGUGAAAUUGUAUUGGCGGUGAAGAUGCCGUCUACCCGCGAAAAGACGGAAAGACCCCGGCACCUUUACUACAGCUUGACAUUGGAUUUUGGAAUAGGAUGUGUAGGAUAGGUGGGAGGCAUUGAAUCUGGGACGCUAGUCUUGGUGGAGCCACCCUUGAAAUACCACCCUUUUUAUUUUAGAGUUCUAACUUCGACCCAUGAACUGGGCGAAAGACAGUGUCUGGUGGGUAGUUUGACUGGGGCGGUCGCCUCCCAAAGAGUAACGGAGGCG
rnacentral:rRNA from 1 species